UCAUAGUAAAUAUUAGGUCAUCUCCCGAGUGGGCCGUUCUACAACUGGACCCUUUUCCCAUCCACCCAUCAGCAGCCGGUCGGGUGGAAAUCUCUGUGCUGAUAGUCGCGCGUGAAAACAUUGUCACUCAAUCGUGCAAAUAGUGUGUGAGUGUAGCAUGGCUCUACGCCUGGGAAGUGUAGUGUGACUCGAACUUUUUAUCUCCGGUAUCGAAAUCUGGGGGUCGGAACGCAUUCCGGCCCUUAGUUAGUCACUCGUAAACGCAUCACUUCCCAAAACAGCUUCCCAUAAUCGAAAACUCUGCACCGAACAACGAACAAAUCCGGUGCCGGGAGGAGGCUAACCUCCCGUAAUCGAACCGUAACCGUUACGCAUCGGCGAACUCGUAGAAGAAGUCUUCCACCAACCGAACCUACCGCCGGACAAAAGAGUGCGCACGGAUGGAAAGGAGGAAAAAAAAAGUUCCGAUUCCACCCGACCCUGUUGCCCUGUAAAAAAGGGUAAAAACUUCGGGGUACGGUACGGUACGGAAAAACUCAUCCCAUUAUCGGCGGAAUGUGCCAUCUGGGACUUUUCGGCAAUUGUUCGAACGGACGUGCGAGGGCGGUACAGCCAGUCGGAAGCGGGCAACGGUUUGCUGCUCAGCAAAGCUCAGCGCCGGUCUGAGCGUGGCCGAUCGAUCUGGCUAACUUUUUCUCAAACAACCGUAAACAGCUUAAUAAACGGCAGCUUAACCACUUAAUUACGAAGAUUCCGAUUGAUCCGCCGGCCGAGAUUGGUACGGUAGGGAGGCGGGCAACCAGAAGGUCAUCGACGACGAUGUGACGCUGACGGUGGUCCCUCCCGGAUAUGUUCUGCCGCUGCCGGUUAAAGAAUUCCGUUCAAUCAUUCAACCUAAUCGAAUUCGGCCAAACACUCAUUUCCGGGUCUUGGGCAAUCCCGGCAGCCACUUCCGGAUGGUGUUGCAAGCCUUUUGCGUUUGGAUCCUUCCCCCCCUGAUGCCGCGCGGAUUAAUUACGUCUCGCACGCCGGGCCUUCCACGGCCUUCGACUCUAGACACGAGGGCAAACUUUCCUGUAAAUCACCACUAACUGUCCCAGGGAAAUGAAUGUAAACGACUUCGGCAGGUUACUGCGCCACGGGACGGGAAUGGUGUAAUCGUAAAGAUGAGACACAAAUUGUCCACUCCAUUGGCAUUCGGGAACGUGUCUUCGCUAGCAACCACGCCAAGCAGAUGUUAAUGGGAAGUAGGCCUUUUCUUCCGAGUUCCGAGUGGUACCGCAUUCCGUUCUUCUGUGCGUAGAAUCUCGCGGGACAUUUCUCCUGCCAGCGCCAGCAGUGGAUGCAUAAAGUUUUUCCCGAAAAACGGAUCGUCGUUUUCUAAACGCACCGUGACUUAGCGUCCGGAUGAGCCUCACAGAUGUCACACGACGAUGAUGAUGAUGGUGGUGCCGUGGAUGGGAUAGAACGAUGGGAACAGGUACGAAAGACACCCUAAUGUGUAUAAGCUAACCCGCCCGUUCACCUAGUUUCGGGAAGGCUCUUUUAAGAAGCCGCAAGGAUGAUGGGCUACCUUCGGUGGCAGCUCAAUUUUCCACCUUCUGUUUCGGUACGCGUAUGUGUGUGUGUGUGUGUGAUUAGGACCGAGAGGAAAUAGAAAACACGAGGGAAGUAUUAAUAACACCGUGUAAUUACACCAUAAAGAGGCCUUCCCUCGCCGUAGACACCCUCUCACCGUGGGUAAGGAUGGCCGCCACUGACUGGAAACCACUUUGAUCCGAAACUGUUCCAAACGUCUGAGGGGGCUUCAGUGCUCCUGUUGAGCGGGCAAAAUUAUCCUUGAAAUUAUAACCGCAAAAAAGACGUGCUUCGUGUCCUCAACCCUGAGGAUGUUUAAUUUUCUUCACCCAUUUCUCAGUUCCCGGAGACAAGGAUUACUACACAAAACCACCGAACGUAAGCCUAAAGUGUGAAGGUCGCUCAGGAUGCUCUUUGACCUUCUCCUUUGCGAACCGGAAGACGGCAGGCCGGUGGUUUGGGUGGGGUAAGAUUAAGUGGUUACCCCGUGCACGAACCCGAAAACCCCUUGGUAAUGUAUGUAAUUAUACCCGUAACCCUUGACGACGAAGCAACACACACACAUAUUCGUUGAUCGUAUUUCGUGCCCGGUUAGGCUUAGCUAAUGUCUUUAACGCUUGGAGAAAGAGUUGCUCACGAACGAUUUAAUUAGUUUGAUAGUGAUGAAUGUCCCACGGGGAAAUGAAGUUUCAAAAAACGUACGCUUUGCCUGAGCGCGGUCGGAAUGGGAGGGUGUUGUGUUCUUGGAUGUGAUUGAGGCAGUUUGAAAGUUAAUAUGAGUAGUUUAUCUCGCCUUUUUUACGAAGGCAAGGAACCGCUUUGGAAGGGAUGUUAGUUGUGAUUACGACGGGGGGAUGACUUUAAUUAGAAUGUAAGUAUUGUCAUAACGGAUGGCUGUUCGGGAGAGGCGCGUGACACUGGGUUAGGAUGGUUUAGAAUGAAUUUCAACAUUUAUGGGCAUGUUUUGCAUAGGCGGUUGUUGUCGUAUGUUACCUACAUCGGUGUUUUGCGUGUAAGUUGUGUUCAUCGCCAAAGGGAACGUUAACAGGGCGCCAUAUUUACGUUAUCGUUUGCUUACAAAAUAGCUGUUGAGCUCAUGCUGAUUAUAUUAAUUCUAGAAUUCUAGAAUCUUAGGCUAAAAAUUAUCAUCAAAUUGUGCUAGAACCUCAGGAAAGUAAGUCAUUAAAAACAUUUGAGGUAUUGCAGAACUUUUUGAGUAGAUUUCCUUUACAAGUCUUGACUGACGAUCAAAUCGAUAAUGAAGACGUAUUUAUUUUGCUUGUUAGACACCUACCCCAACAUAGGGCGCAGAUAGGAAGCAGACAAUCGCCAACUAUCUUACUUGAGUGAACUUAAGUUUUGCUUAUCUAAGAAACUAUCUUCUUCUUUCUUGGCACUAAAACCUCGCAAAGUCUAGGCCUGCCAUUUCUAGCUUUCUGUGACUUCCCGUAGCAAAGUAGUCAGCCUUGCGUACGGGGAGGCGCGAUCCAGUUGGGAUUUGAAGCCCGAUCCUGCCGUGUGAAGACCGGUGCCGUGGUCCUCUCUGCUAUCGGACCACCCCUAAAAAACUAUAUUUGAAGAUGUUGGAUGUUCCUUAAAUUUCACAAUGAACCAGAUUUAAGACCUUGUAAGGUAAAGAAUACUGAUCACGAUAGUUCCGGUUGCUCUGGUAGUCAUCUCAGGACGCAAGUCCUAGGCGAUCUUGAGCCAAGAAUCCAACGGGAAAAAAUAUGGUGUUUUGUGUGAACAACGCGUCUAGAGAGGAAACAUGAACUACACAUUUGUAGGAGAGAGUUAUCCUGAAGAAUAAGAAAAAUAGGACUAAUGAUCAUGAUGCCUAACAUAUGGUGUCUUUGACUGGAUCAAGUACAAACGGACUAGCCGUAGAUUCAAUGCAGAAGUUGGUUGAGGAAUUAGGUUUUCUAGUGACUUGCUGAAGUGGGUGAGGUAUUCUAGUGGGAGCGUUCCGGUGGACGAGGUGAUAGCGGCGCCGGUCUUCAACACGGCAGGGCCGGGGUUCAAAUCCCAUCCAGACCGCCUCCCCCUACGUAAGGCUGACUACUUUACUACGGGUAAAAUCAAGUCACAGAAAGCCAGAAAUUGCAGACCGAGACCUCUCGAGGUUGUAGUGCCAAGGAAGAAGAAGAAGGAGAAGUGAGUUGCUUUCAUAGAUGACCUCUCAAUAACAGUAUAAAUUCCUCAACUUUAAAGCCAAGAAAAACAAAAUGGCUUAAAUAUAUCACUGUUACUUUCAAUAGAAAUGCUCU